ACUGCACCACAGCCAAUUUAGCCGUGUUGUGUACUACAUGACAUGGGCAACCAUGAAGAUAAAUGCUCAGGUGUUCUUUCAGGGUUCUGGGGACGAUGGAGUUAUGUGAACCUGUGUUCACAGCAGCAUUAUCCACAGAGAGGCCAACACAGUUUUGCGAUGGGAUGCCCUUUUCUUCCAAGGUGGCAUUGAUCUUACUGAAGAUGACGUCAUCUUACUGAAGGUGUAUGGUCCUUCCCUCAUUUGCACCUCCAACUCCUUCAUGAAAUGUGGUGCCAGCACUUCGUUGACUAUACAUGAAGUCUUGGUUCUGGCACACCUGUACUCCUGGGCUGUCUUGGAAUCUGUCUUGGAAUGGUGCUGAACCAAUGUUGCUGCUAUUUUGACCUCAGCCCUCCUUGUCUGUAAGAAGAUGCUGCAACCCCCUGCUGUUCACCGGCUGCAAAGAUGGCCAGGAUCAAGACACCUUCACCAACCACACCAUCCUGGACCAUUACAGAUGCAGGCUGCGACCCUCCCUCCCCAGCUAAGGCGGCCCAAUCACCGAUUCCCUCAUCAGCUGCUUGGCCCUGGUUUAUCUCUGAUGCACCCUCCAGCUCUCGUUCUCCAGCUAAUGAAGUAAGUUUCUCUAUUCCCCAGCCGAUACACAUAGAACAUUUACAUUAGGGUACAUCCGGGGUUAAAUAAAGUGACUUUCUGUGUGUGGUUUACUUCAACUCAAAAGCACAAUCAAGAACGAAGAAUGUUUUAUCAACGGUCAGUUAAAAAACAAAGUGCAAAAAUGUAGUGAAACAAAACAGUGUGAUAGAUGCAAUUUGUGACAUAAUUAUUAAAUUAAUUAAUUUUAAUUAUCAAUUUAUAUUAUUAAUAAUCAAAGAUUUUCUGAAAAUUAUUAUUGUUUUGGUAAGUGCUUCAAUUGACCUUGUGUGUUAAAGAUAAUUAUGCAAAGUGUUUGUAAAACAUAUUGGUCAAUAUGUUCAUGUUAGAGAAAGCCUUUACUUUUUAUACUGGUACU